rnacentral:tRNA from 1 species
CACUAGAUGGCUGAAAGUAAGUAAUGGUCUCUUAAACCAAUUUAUAGUAAUUUAACACCUAC